AGCAGCAGCGGUUAUACGCUAUUAUAUAUCAAUUUUACCUGAAAUAAAACUAUUUUUUCAUAUUUUUUAAGAAAUGAAAUUCCAAAUCAAAAUAAUAAAUAAAUUAAUCUCAUAUUAGACCAAAACCAGGAUUAGAUACCCUGUUAUCCUACUCUUAUACAAUAUUUCAAAGAAAUAUAACUAAAUAAAUAUGACGGUAUUAAUUUUUACAAAGGAUUUUGUUUUCUUAAUCGACAAUACACGAACUACCUCACUUAAAUUAUAUAUGUAUACCACCGUUAAAGAAAUUAUUUUUAACAAAUUUCAAAAAAAUAAAACUUUAAAAAAUCAGGUCAAGGUGCAAUUUAUUUAAGUAAAAAUGAAAUACAUUAAUUAAAUAUUAUAUAUUAUUUUUGAAAAAAGAAUAUAAAAUAGAAUUUGUUAGUAAAAAAAAAUAAUCAUGUUUUUUUGAAAAAUUUUAUUAAUAUGUACAUAUCGCC
rnacentral:rRNA from 1 species